CUCCAAAGUGUUGAGUUCAGUUCAGGGCAGCAUCCCUGUUCUGUUAAUUAAACUUUGGGACAUUGAAAUUGGCUGAGGGAAAUUACUGAAUAGAGAGUAUUACUCUAUUCAUGUACUUCUAGCCUACACAG